CAAUAAGUUACUUGAAGAAUAAUUAUUUAUUGUAAAGAUGGUUGUAAAAGUUUUCAGAUACAAAUAUUGGCAAGCAGUUGGACUUAAAUUAUAUUUCUUAAAAGAGAUCAAUCAUCGAGAUGAUAUUGAAUCCGGACAAUUCCUAUAACUCGCCGAUGUACCUAUUAACCCGAAUGUUGAAUGGAAACCUAUGGAAAUAUCUGACCAAGGCAUUUUAUGAAAAUACUGAUUCGUCAAAACACUUACGGAAUAGCUGUCCGAGCACUUUUUAUGGAUUUUCAAUGUUUUAUCAAAUAAAUUAAAGGUGGAAAUAAUAUUAUAUAAAUCUAUUGAAAAUAAAUUAUUUUUAUUU